GAUGAACGCUAGCUACAGGCUUAACACAUGCAAGUCGAGGGGAAACGAUAGAGAAAGCUUGCUUUUUCUAGGCGUCGACCGGCGCACGGGUGAGUAACGCGUAUCCAACCUGCCCAUCACUUGGGGAUAACCUUGCGAAAGUAAGACCAAUACCCAAUGACGUCCAUAGAAGACAUCUGAAAGGGAUUAAAGAUUUAUCGGUGAUGGAUGGGGAUGCGUCUGAUUAGCUUGUUGGCGGGGUAACGGCCCACCAAGGCGACGAUCAGUAGGGGUUCUGAGAGGAAGGUCCCCCACAUUGGAACUGAGACACGGUCCAAACUCCUACGGGAGGCAGCAGUGAGGAAUAUUGGUCAAUGGGCGAGAGCCUGAACCAGCCGAGUAGCGUGCAGGAUGACGGCCCUAUGGGUUGUAAACUGCUUUUAUAAGGGAAUAAAGUGAGCCUCGUGAGGCUUUUUGCAUGUACCUUAUGAAUAAGGACCGGCUAAUUCCGUGCCAGCAGCCGCGGUAA
rnacentral:rRNA from 1 species